GUGGCAAAGCUUCGAUAGAGAUCAACUCAUUUGAAAAAGGACAGAUACAAUCUUAAAUACAAUCAUUGAUGUGUACCGUUAGAGUUUUGAGAUUUGGGGCAGAUGAAUCGAUGUAUUCUUUCUCUUGGUUUUCACAUCAGAGUGACAUAUGUACUUGGAAACUUUGUUGCUUUGUUCAGGAAGUGAUCCAAAACGUCAAAGUGCUGGAUUUCCCCUUUUCGAAAACUACUUUGCAUCAAAUGUAAAACUAAACAAACUAGAGGAGAAAUCGAGGAAGUCGCAAAGUCAUAACCAUACUUUUAAUUAAUGAGCUACCAUCCUUUCGAUGUGCGUUUGUUUGUUUGAAUGGGGUGUUUUAUAGGGUGACAACGAUGGACAUUAGAAAAACGUCGUACGUGUUUUUCUAUUUUUGAAAGAGACAGUUUCCUUAAAAAUAGCUCAAUCUUCCUCAAGGAAAUAGAGGAAACUUCUUUGGUUAGUGGUUGGCCAGGACACGCUGUUGAUGUUGAAACUUCUUCAGUACCUCAUCACAUCACUCACGGCGGUCUGCAAGCGGCAUUAGAAAAGUGGAACAUUCAUCACUAUGUUUACCGUCGGUGAUACAGCGUUACAAUACCUGCCUAACUUAAAAUGUUUAAGAAGAAGUACAGAGAUGGAAAAACGAGUAACACAGAGCUCGCUUAAGGACAGCGAUCAAGGUUGAUGUAAUGGCUUAAAAUAGUUUAUUUAGAAUAACAAGUAAAAAUAUUUAAGAAUUACAGCCUUCAAACUCUGCUAAUAAUCCUUUAUUAUAAAAAAGUUGAAAUAAUCAUCAGGAAUUUCUAAACAAAAAAAAAAACUACAACGUCAUUUUACAAAAUAAAAACUGUGUGUUAAGAUUAACCAUAAUAUAAUUUAUUGCUUUAUACAUCAGCUAAGAAAUGGACUUGGAUGUCAAGAACUUGUCAUCAGGAGUUCAAA